UGAAAUGAACAUGGUGAACUGUUUACGGAGUGGUGAUUACCAAGUUUUAACAAAUAAGUGAGAAUGUUUUUAACAGCCAGUAUGUAUCAUUGCAUUUGUGGAAACCAGACUAAGUUAAUACAGAUGAGUGGUGAAUGUAUUUUAAUGGAAUACUAUGAAUGAGGAAUGACAAACAAACUGUUGUUGAUUAAAAUUCUGGUAGGCCUUUCCUCACAUUCCUACACAACACAGUUGUUAGAAUGAUAAUAAAGUUAUGACAAUUAGUGAUAAAUGACAAAAUGACCAGUAAUAUGAUACAAUGCAAACAGUAGUGACAAUGUAAUGUGCAGAAUACCAGCGACACUAGCAGCAAGUCAGCUUGGAUGAUAAAGUGCCAGUAGAUGACUGACUGCAUGCUAGGUGCACAGCUCAUAAGGGUCACGGUUCACUCUGUGACACCACCACCCUGACUCCGGGGUAGAGGGGAACUUCAUCGACCAUGAGGCUGCUCAGAGGCUCGAAUUGCCCACAGAGGAGCUCCAACGACUUGUGAGUCUGAAGGUGAUAGAUGGCGGACCUGUUGGGGAGGGGCUAAUCACUACUUGCACAGCACUGCUGGAGAUUCAGGUUGGGGCAUUUCAUAAGGAACUUAUCUCACUGUUCAUCACCUGCACUGUCCACCAAGCCAUAGUUCUGGGGUUCCCUUGAUUACAAUACUAUGGUGGUUUCCUUUAUGUUGUCAAUACUGCCUGCAACUGUCCCAACUCACCCUGCCUGCAACUCACCCUGGCUUCUGCUUCUGUGGAGAGCCCCUCACUCGGGGGCAUUGAACACAUUCCCACCUGCUACCAUGAGCUCAAAAAGGUAUUCAGCAAGGGUAAGGCUAGUGGUUGCCUCCUCAAAGACCCUAUGACUGUGCCAUUGACCUCCUCCCUUGCACUACACCUCCACACAGCCACAUAUACCCACUCUCAGUCCCAGAACAAACUGCCAUGGAGGAAUAUGCUCAAGAAGCACUGCAAAAGGGAUUUAUCCAUGCUUUCACAUCUCCUGCAUCUGCAGGCUUCUUCUUUGUGGAGAAGAAAGGAGGGGGCCUCUGACCCUGUAUUGACUACUGAGGACUGAACCAGAUCACAAUAAAGUACCCCUACCCACUUCCACUAGUACCUGUCUGCUCUAGAACAGUUACAGUCAGCCCACGUAUUCCCCAAACUGGACCUCAGGCACACUUACAACCUGGUGUGUAUUCGAGAGGGUGAUGAAUGGAAAACUGUGUUCAGUUCUUCACGGCACUUCGAGUACUGUGUCAUGCCUUAUGGGUUUUCUUGCAUGCCCAGCAUAUUCAUCAGUGAUGUCCUCAGGGUCAUGUUGGGAUUCUAUGUGAUUGCCUAGAUCAAUGACAUUCUGAGCUACUCCCCAGACGAAAUCAUUCACCAAGACUAUGUAAGAUCAGUACUCACCUGACUUCUGGAAAACCAGCUGUACAUCAAGGCUGAAAAAUGUGAGUUUCGUACAACCCAAAUUGCAUUCCUGGGGUACAUCAUUAGUGCAAAGGCUGUAAGCAUGGACUCAAACAAGGUGUCUGCAGUAACCACCCACCACAGUCAAAGAACUUCAAUGUUUCUUGGGUUUUGCCAACUUUUAUCACUGGUUCAUUAGAGGAUUCAGUACUAUCGCUGCUCCACUCACCGCAUUGCUAAAGAAGGAUCCCAAGCAUCUCCAGUGGAACCAGGUGGCGGAGUAUACUUUUAACCAGCUCAAAUCAGUCUUUACCACAUGACCAUUUCUGAAACACCCAGAUCCUUUGCAAACCUUCAACAUGGAGGUGGAUUCUUCUGAAACUGGAGUGGGAGGGGUGUUGUCUCAGUGCUUUGGGGAAAAGACGAAACUACUAGAAUGCCAAGACUGGAAGCUUUCUUUUUUUUUCUCCUCCUGCAUAAAGACCGCAAGCUGAGGCCAUCCACAUUGGAUCUGCUUUAAUAUCAACAGAUCUUCGAUUAAGGUACAUAAAUCCAUUCAUCAUGGCACCUUCAGCUUGUUCAGUGUGUUGAGUGCAGGAUGUUUAGUCAUUCUUCCUCCAUCACUAGUGAUAGCUUUAUUUAUGACAAGUGCAAAUUAGUUAGUUCUCUGACAGAGAAGACUGCAGCUUUGGAGGUGUGUAUCCAGACUUUAGAGAGGGUUAGUGAGAAUGAGAACAGUAUAGUUUCUGCAGGGGAAAGUCUGAAUGCCCUAGGUGGAGUUAGUAAUCCCCCAACUCUGGCAUUAGAGCCCUCGCAGUGGGGCGAAUGGGCGAUGACUUGGCAGCAUAAGCAUAGAGCCAAAGCUACUGUACCAUUGAGGCUCGCCCAUAGAAGCACCACUCCUCUCCUCUUCAUGUGUCGAACAGAUUUGCCUUCCUCAGUGAUGCACCCACUGAGAAACCUGAAAGAGCUCUGGGUGUAGGAGACUCUAUCUAUGGCAUGUGAAAUUAGCUAAGCCUUUAGGGGUAGCAGCAGCUUUAGUCAGGUGUAUACCAGGAGCCAGAGUGCUGGACAUAGCAGGUAAUCUUAGCGUCCUAGGCAAGCACAGGUUCUCAAAGAUAGUUCUCCAUGUAGGAGCUAAUGAUGUACACCAGGGCUAUUCAACUAGUUUGGGACUGGGGCCAGUUCAUCAAACUGAAACUAAACCAGGGGCCGGGCAAUUUGACUUAUCAAGGUAUCAAUUAAAGCAAUGAACUCAAAACAUCGCUGCGGAUAUAUUCAAUUUAUUAGAAUUCUGUGCAGAACACAGAAAAUGAAAUGAGCAAAAAACAUCAGGCUCAACAUCACUGAAAUUGAAAAUUCCCCUCAACACCCCCACCCAGGGUGACAGGCCUACCUGCCCUCCAAACAGUAAUAUGGAUACCUCAAGAAGCUAAGAGGUAAACUAAAAGGAAAAAAAAAGCUAAAAACAACUAUUAGCAACAACACAUUUUUUUUUUAAAUAAAUCCAAAUGAUCUCCCUUCUUUUUUGUAAUGGCACAUCUUAUCUUAAUGUGAGAAAUGGCAUUUUUUGAUUUGGCCAAAAUUAACAAAAACAUCAGGCUCAGCAUCACUGAAAUUGAAAAUUCCCCUCAACACCUCCACCCAGGGUGACAGGCCUACCUGCCCUCCAAACAGCAAUAUGAAUACCUCAAAUUAUCUUUCUUCUUUUUUGUAGUGGCACAUGUUAUCUUAAUGUGAGAAAUGGCAUUUUUUUGAUUUGGCCAGAGAAGUAAAGUCAGGUGUGUAUGAGGUCAGGGCAAUGCGCAGAGAGUGGUGGAGAUGCUGGUCAGUAAGUGAUAUGCGAUUGUGUGUUUUGAUUGCAUUCAUGUGUGAGAAUGAUGACUCACAUGUGUAUGUUGAGCCAAACAUUGUCAAAAGAAAAAGUGCAAGGUUCCUUGAGUAUGGAAAUUUGUCUUGGCUGACUGCAUGGGUCCAGAACUUCUCAAAACCUGCCUGCUGGAAUGACUGCCUCAGCUCAUCUGUUGACUGGAUUUCAAUAAGUUUGAGCUGUAAAGACCCCUCAUCCAAAGUAGACAGCACCUCCUUCUCUUUCAGUCCAAAGUCUGUCUCGACAUCGACACUGAAAGGGUCCUUAACAAAUCGCAGCACUUCAGUAGGGAUGCUGAAAUCACUAAACCUAGUGGCAAAAUUGUUUCUCAAAGAGUCAGUAAAGCUCGACAUCACCUGGGUAAUGUGCAGGCCAGAUGUCCUCAGUGCUGGGAAGUGGAGCAUCUUCCCUGGGCGCAGAUCAGCUGAGAACAGCGAGAGCUUUCUUUGAAAAGCAGUAAGUCUCUCCGCAAGUUCAACGACUGUUUUCCCCCUGCCCUGCAACUCCGUGUUGAUUUGGUUCAAAUGUUGGAAAACAUCACUCAAAAAACAAACAGUUGCAUUGAACUCUUCGUUUUCCAUUAUAGGCAGAAAGUUUGCAGCUUUUUUCGAUCCUGAUGACCGGAGAAACACCAGUAUUUCCUCUCGUAGUUCAUUGAAACGUUUCAAUGCAUUUCCCUUGCUCAGCCACCUAAUGUCAUUCUGAAUUAGUAAAUCACUGUGUUCGGCUGACAUGUCAAUCAACAGCUGGCGGAAAAACCGGUGCUGUAAGCUAGAGUUGCACCGCACGAAGUUUUAUUAUUGCCAUCACAGUGUCCAUGCACUUUUUCAAUUCGCCACUGAGCUUCGCGCACAAUAGGCUUUGGUGGAUGAGGCAAUGCAGCGAUCGCAACUGAGGAGCUACUGCUGUCAUUCGCGCAGCGAGCCCUUGUUCUCUGCCUGCCAUGGAGGGAGCACCAUCAGUAAGCAGCAUGUUUAUGCGUGCCAAAUCCAGGUUGUUUUCAGUGAAGAAUGUAGUAAUCUUGUUAAAUAAAAUCUCCCCAGUAGUAUGACCCUCCAUAGGAAUUAAUCCAAGCAAAUCCUCCCGAAAACAUUCACCAUCAAAAAAACGCACGUAAAGGCACAGCUGGGCAACGUCACUGUUAUCCGUGGACUCAUCCACGGCCAACGACAUCACCUCGGCCUUCCUCAGUUUGUCCAAAAGCGUCUCGAAAAUGUCAGAUGCAAGGCACUCCACUCUCCUCAUAUUUGUUGUGUCAGACAAUGGAAUUUGCUUGAUGAUGUCCAGAACGUUUUUCCGAGUUUUCUCGUCUGCUACGGCCUCCUCAAUUGAUGCUAGCAUACACUCUUUGACCGUCUCCGAGUACGUAAACGGCGAUUUCUUUUUCCCCAAAAUCCAUGCCACUCGCAAAGAUGCUGCCGUUGUCCUCUCUUGAUCCGUACUGGUCUGAAACAAUAUUCGACGUCUUUGCUCAUAACAUGAUGUGAGCGCUGAUAUCUUCUCCCUCCGAGCAACGGAGCCCGGCGGGAAACUAGUGUCGAAUUUAGCAUGAGCAGUCUUGAAAUGAUGCCUCAAAUUAAAAUCUUUACACACCGCAAUGCAUUCGUUGCAGAUAAGACAAACUGGUUUAGCAUUAACUGCGAUAAAUGCAUACUUAUCGGUCCAUUCGCUAUUAAACUGCCUGUUUUCCGAGUCAACUUUUCUUUUUCGUUGGGUAGAUAAAGACAUCGUGCUUGCAUUUGUUUGCUUUGUCUGGUCUGUUAAAACAUAUUUCCGGUCUAAUGAUUCUUCUUCUGUUGCAUUUUUUUUCAUUAUUGAUUGGUUGGUUGGUAUCCAACCAACGGAUUUCUGGGCAACACACGGCUCUGGACCAAAAAACAGAGGCUUUCGGUAAAAGUAUUAAUGGGUGCCAUCUGCUGGUGUGUGCCGGUACAGCAUACAAAAAUGCAGGCAAUCUAUCCGAUGUUGGACCUCGCAUCUUAACGCCAUAGCCUACGGACGUGUUUACGGAAUAUAUUCACUCUCGCGUGUAAUAACUAAAUCACAUUACACUUCGGGGGCCACUAGAAAUCAUCUCAAGGGCCGCAUCUGGCCCCAGGGCCGCCAUUUGAAGAGGCCUGAUGUACACCAUUAGUCUGAGGUUACUAAGAGUAACUUUGUAGAGGUGUUUAAAUUAGCGAAGGUGACGUCUGAUGCUAUAAUAUGCUCUGGCCCCAUUCCGGUGGUGCGGCUUAACCGGUAGCUGCGACUCAGGUGCGAGAGGCAGGUGGCUGUUUGUUUGUUUUCCUCACUGUUUUCUUCACUGUAUGAAAGUUUGCUAUGGACGUGUAUGCGUGUAUACAGCCUUGUGUGUUGUUUGUAUGGGCUGAUGGAGUUAUGAUGAUGGAGAAGAGGAGGAUUGGGGCAUUUUUAAUACUGGUGUUGCUGGCUGCUUCUUGCACUGGUCUACUGCAACAAGACACCAGCUGUUCAAUGCUUCAAGGGGGGCACGAUCAGCUGUUACAGGUGCACAGUAGGGAAUGGUUGCUGUCCCUACGCCGGAAGGCUACACCUGAACCGGGCCUGCUAGACAAAAUUCCAGAGGAAUUGCUAAGGAGGAGGGGGGACUGCCAGCUACAGAAACGUGGGAGAAGAGGCGGUAUCCAACAUUGACUUUGCUGAAGGCAGAAUAAACCUCUUCUGCCAUAUAUACUUCUGAGUAACGUUCGUUCCCUCAGGAAUAAAAUUGACGAGCUAUGCAUCAACACAAAAGUUUGUCAUGAAUACCGUGAGGCUUCCCUCAUGAUUUUCACGGACACGUGGCUUCAGUGUGAUGUUCCUGAUCAGCUGAUUCAGGUACAAGGCUUUAAAAUGUCCGUAUGGAUAGAAACAGUAACUCGGGGAAAGUUAGGGGUGGUGGAAUUUCUAUGUACAUUAAUGACUCUUGGUGCAAUAAUUACACUUUAAAGGGCUCAGUAUGCACACCUGAUCUUGAACUCUUGUGUUUGAGUCUAAGGCCAUUCUAUCUAUCCCGGGAUUAUGGAACUGUUUUCAUUUGCGUUUACAUUCCACCGAGUGGUAACGCAUCAAUUGCCACCUCACGUGUAGCCGACUGCAUUUAUAAGCAGCUUCAGAGCAAGCCAGAUGCACCUAUGUUUAUACUGGGUGAUUUUAAUCAUUGCAAUAUGGACUGCAUUCUUCCUGGAUUUCAGCAAUUUGUCACUGCUGGCACACGGAAAAAUAAUAUAUUGGACAAAUGCUAUGGCAACAUUAAAAAUGCGUAUGCUUCAAAAAUUGGUCCACCUCUUUCAAAUUCGGACCAUAAUAUGAUACGACUUAUCCCAACUUUUAAAUCUGCUCUAAAAAGGAGCAAACCACUUAUAAAGACCGUCAGUGUGUGGCAGGAGGGUAACAAAGAAGAGUUAAGUGGUUGUUUCCUGGCCACAGACUGGAAUGUCUUUUAUGGGGAAAAUAACAUUGAUAAUAUUGCUGAGGCUAUCACAGGGUAUAUUAAUUUUUGCGUCUAUACAGUGGUGGCAAAAAAGACUGUUAAGGUAUACCCAAACAAUAAGGACUAUAUUACUCCUGAAAUCAAACAAUGCAUUCGACGAAAGAAGCAGGCCUUCAAGAACAACAACACUAUAGAACUCAAGGCCAUUCAAAAGGACCUAAGGGGGAAAAUGAGGGAGGCGUGAGAGCAGCACAGCCUGCGUAUGAGGGAAGCCCUCUCAAAUAAGAACUCUAAACAGCUUUGGGAUGCAGUUAAAGAUAUGACCAACCUAUACUCUAAUAAAGGGGGAGUACUGCAUGUUCUGAAUGAAUUAGAAAAAGCAAAUGAGUUAAAUGAUUUUUAUAGGCGGUUUGACUGCGCUGCAAAGGGGGUGCUGGAAGAAUGCAACAGUGUAUUGAGUACAAUAUCACGUGAUCUAUCUACCAGAAAUGUAAUUAACCCAGAAGCUGUGGCCAGGGUAUUUGGAGGGUUGCACACAAAAAAAGGCCAUUGGGCCAGAUAGUAUUUCUGCCUUACUCCUUAAAACAUUUGCCAGUGAGUUAGCUCCAGCUUGGAGCCCUUUAUUUCAACUUUCUGUUGAUACACACAGUAUUCCUAAAGAUUUGAAGAGAACCAUUAUUAUUCCUGUACUCAAGAAACCUUGCCCAAAGGAUAACAAUGAUUUUAGACCUGUUGCCCUAACAUCCAUAGUAAUGAAGGCUUUUGAGCGUAUAAUGGUAGGAAACCUAAAACAAGAGGUGCAGUAUCUCUUGAUUCCUUAUCAGUUUGCCUACCAGAAUAGCAGAGGCACUGAUGAUGCUUUAAACACCACAACACAUUUAAUCUUAAAACAUCUUGAAAACUCCAAGGCCUAUACUAGACUGCUGUUCAUGGAUUUUAGUUCUGCUUUCAAUAUGAUUCUACCCCAGAUUCUCUUAAGGAAGCUGGAUCAGAUGGAGGUGAACCCCUAUUUAAUCAAGUGGUAUUUUGCAUUCCUCAUUGGUAGGCAGCAACAAGUGAAAGUUAAUUCCACCCUGUCUCACUCACAGGAAAUAAAUAUUGGGGCUCCUCAGGAGUGCGCAAGUUCUCCCAUCCUCUUUACAUUAUAUACAAAUGACUGUAAGAGUCAACACAGGAGCAAUUACAUCAUUAAGUUUUCAGAUGAUGCAGCUUUACUGAGCCUUCUGUCAGCACAGGCAGACCCUAGGGGGUAUCACAGAGGUACAGGAUAUAGUGCUGUGGUGUGAGGACCACAACCUCAUUUUGAAUGUGGAUAAAACAAAAGAGAUGAUCUUUGACCCCAGGGGUCUGGGGGAUUAUAGUCCAGUGCUUAUUAAUGGACAGGAAGUCCAACAGGUAUCACAUUUUAGGUACUUGAGUAUACAUUUUGAUUGUCAGUUACAGUGGGCAACUCAUGUGGAGUCUGUUUGCUCAAAGAUCUGUCAAAGGCUGCACUUUUUACUGAGACUCAGGGUCCAUGGUGUUGAUAAAAGCAACAUGCUUUUGUUUUAUAGUGCAACUAUUGAACCUGUCAUCCGCUACGGCAUCACAACAUGGUUUGGAAACUUGACUUUUAAAGUCAGAACACAACUCCAGACUCUUGUCAAGAGGGCAGGGAAAAUAAUGGGCAUACAACCCUCAUGCUCUUUACAAGGAAUUUUUGAGGAGACAGUUAGGAGGCAGGGCCUCAAGAUUGCUACUGACCCAACCCAUGUUUUAAAUAAUGAGUUUGAGCUGAUGCCCUCUGGUAGGAGGUAUAUGCUGCCAACAUGCAAGCUAAACAGAUACAAAUUUUCAUUAGUACCUAUGUCCAUCAAAUUAAUUAAUAAGAGAUGACAGGAAUAGUUGCAAGGUUUGAAGUAGGGUAAUAGUGCAAUAGGCUAGUCUCUGUGUAGGAAUAUGAUGACAUGUAUGUUGGAGGUAUAUUUAUUUAUUAUUUUUAGAGGGAUGUGCAAUAUUUUAAUAGGGGGAUUUUAAUAUUUUAAUUGUUUGUGCAAUAUUUUGAUAGAGGGUUGUGCAAUAUUUGAUUUAGGGCAAUAGUGCAAUAAUUCCUGAUAGAAGGCUGUGCAAUAUUAGGGCAAUGGUGUAAUAAUUGUUGUGUAUUUA